UAUUUUUCUUAUUUUAUGUUGUGAGCCUCUGAGCUCCAGAUUGGGACAGAGGGAAUCAGCAUAAUUUUUUGUGAUGCAUUUACUUGAUUGGUGCUUGGGGAUGUUUGAGGCAUAUUUGUUUCCGUCGUUUUGAGGCCAGCUUGCUGGUACCCAAACGGUGUUAUCAUUUUUUGUCUUGGGCAUUUGAGUAUGGCUCACGUGUAUUUAUUGGACAGAUCUGAGUGUAAGUUACGGUCGCAUGCGACACGUGCUUUUCAAUUAGUUCGGUCCAGUUAAUGCUCUCGUACUCCUCCCCCAGGAAAAACCCGGUCAUCUCUCCAACCCGUCUUGAAACACGGACCAAGGAUUUUAUCGGGGGCGCAUUUUUUUGGGUGUAAAAAACUAAAAAGCAAAAUGAAAGAAAAUGACUCUUUAAAGUCGGAUGUGCAAUCUUGAAAAAAAGUGCACCAGGCCCCCUUUCUAACUGUUUACGGGGGGGGGGCGAAAAAGCGUCCGCGGGGAAACCCGAAAGAUGGUGAACUAUUCCGGAGCAGGACAAACCCAAAGGAAACUCUGGUGAAACCCCAAAACCGGUUAGA
rnacentral:rRNA from 1 species